CACAUCUUGUUGUGUUGUCCAAAACCCCAAGGAUAUUCAGUUUCUUUUUACAUAUGAUAAAGAAAAGCAGCUAA